rnacentral:rRNA from 1 species
UGGUGGAGUGAUUUGUCUGGUUAAUUCCGUUAACGAACGAGACCUCAGCCUGCUUGUGUAGUCGGCUCGAUUGCUCUUGUGGUGAUUGCUGGAUUCGACUUCUUAGAGGGACUAUCGAUGCGCAGUCGAUGGAAGUUUGAGGCAAUAACA